rnacentral:rRNA from 1 species
UACGUAGGGGGCAAGCGUUGUCCGGAAUUAUUGGGCGUAAAGCGCGCGUAGGCGGCUACUUAAGUCGGAUGUGAAAGCCCCUGGCUCAACUGGGGAAGUGCACCCGAAACUGAGUGGCUUGAGUGCGAAAGAGGGUCGCGGAAUUCCCGGUGUAGAGGUGAAAUUCGUAGAUAUCGGGAGGAACACCGGUGGCGAAGGCGGCGACCUGGGUCGACACUGACGCUGAGGCGCGAAAGCGUGGGGAGCAAACAGG